CGGAGGUACUCGAGUUGCGAACGGGUGAGUAACACGUGGGUGAUCUGCCCUGCACUCUGGGAUAAGCCUGGGAAACUGGGUCUAAUACCGGAUAGGACCGCACUUUAGUGUGUGUGGUGGAAAGUUUUUUCGGUGUAGGAUGAGCCCGCGGCCUAUCAGCUUGUUGGUGGGGUAAUGGCCUACCAAGGCGGCGACGGGUAGCCGGACUGAGAGGUUGGUCGGCCACAUUGGGACUGAGAUACGGCCCAG
rnacentral:rRNA from 1 species